rnacentral:lncRNA from 1 species
UUGACUCCUCAUCUAUAGUGCAGCGGCGACUCAAAUCGUGUGAUUUUGGACGGCGACCUCUUCAUUCUAUAAUCCGGCCAUGUCGUCGCUCUGACUGACUCCGGCACCUCUUUGCACUUUCGCCAACCGCCGCCGUGGUCGAAGAUCGGUAACUGGUCGUCGCGCACAUCUGAAGGCGCUGCGGCGUGUCCAGAUUUCAAUUCACAUCUCUACGGUUAUCAAAAUCUUCGUUCGUGAAUCUCUGUUGAACUAUGGCUAUCAAGGUAUCAUAAACUCAGUUUGUUUCUGACUAUGCACAUCGAAGAGGUGUUCUUAAUUUUAUUGAUUCUGAUUAGUGG